rnacentral:lncRNA from 1 species
AAUUUUUACAGGUUUAGAGACAUAGUUUUAUUCACUCAACCAAACUAUAACCAUAUUCCAAAGGUUGUGCUAAGCAAAACCUCAGGACACUGAUAAACCAUGUUGCUGAUUUAUUAGCUUACAAGGAAGCUAUAGGUGGGUCUAACAGAAUGAGGAAGGCUGGACAUUCAGAAGGGGCUCCUCCUGCUGGGGAAAGUACAUGUCAAGGCCAAUGGGAAGGUUGCCUAGAGACCAACAUGUCAUUCAUUAACUGGGUUAGGCUGAAUGAUCCUCGACGCAAAGGGUAUUUCUGAUUACACAAGAAAAAAGUAGGGGAUGUAACAAGUAUUGAUCACUUAUGGAUUGGACCAGGUGUUUUCACCUUGCCUCGUUUUCAGGUUGUUCAGGAUUGAAUGUGUUAUCAACCUUUUUUAGAGAGGAAACUAAACCCCAGAGGGAUUGUCACUUGCCCAAAGUUGCCCAGAUACCCAAGGUAAACGUUCAAUUUCAGCUCUGACUGACUUCAACCAAUAGCUGUGGAGGUCUCCUAGCUAUUAAAGUAGAAUGCAGGCUGGGCACGGUGGCUCACGCCUGUAACCCCAACAAUUUGGGAGGCCCAGGCAGGCGGAUCACCUGAGGUCGGGAGUUCGAGACCAGCCUGUCCAACAUGGGUGAAACCCCAUCUCUACUAAAAAAAAAAAAAUACAAAAAUUAGCCAGGUGUGGUAGCGGGUGCCUGUAAUCCCAGCUACUCGGGAGGCUGACGCUGGAAAAUCACUUGAACCUGGAAGGCGGAGGUUGCAGUGAGCUGAGAUCACGCCAUUGCACUCCAGCCUGGGCAACAAGAGCAAAACUCCAACUCAAAAAAAAAAAAAAAAGUGGAAUGCAGGCAGCCCUGACACAGCCUGUGUUCUCUCCACUGCACUCUGCUGCCACGACCAUCCAGCUGCCUCUUUCCUCUUAGACAUGGACUCAUUCUGCUUAACAUGAUUUCUCUGGCCCCACUUCUGAGUUUCAUAUAGGUCCCAGCUUUUAUUAACUCAUGAUUCUUUACAUCAAUUAGAAUGCAACUUACUCAAAUCGGACUUUUUUCCAGUUAUAUUUUUUGUUCUAAAGAUAACGUGGCCUUCUGAACAUCUUCACUAUUUCAAGUUCUUGUCAGUAACAUGUUUACAAACCAUCUAUGGAGAUGGCCAUCUUCUGAUGUGUUGUUUCUAUCUUAAAGGAUGGCCUUUGGUAUCCCUCAUCCUUUUGGUGUCCCUCAUCCUUGGAACGUCCUAACUGUUGUAAAUACUGACCAUAUUGUUAAGCUUUCAGAACAGCAUUAAAUUUUACCAUUUUGUUUUAGGUGUCUAUGUGGAGAAACAAUUUAGAAAUUCAUUUUUUGUGGAUUCUUUAAAACUCAUGGAGCCCGGGUACGAUGGCUCACCCUAAAUGAAAUUUUAAAUGAGAUGUUUUAACCAAUCAAAAUUGAUCAUUCAUUUGACUGGUGAGACUGUGGGAAACCAGGCCCUCUCAGGCACUGCUGUACAACGUUGCCAGAUAGCAAUCUGUCAUACAUUUCGGUAAGCAAUUGGCUUGGAAAUUCAAGUCACAGGAAGUGAGCCUACAGAAAUACUUGCACCUAAAGGCAAAAGUGUUUGUAACAGCACUGUAAUACUGUUAAGCUGAAAGCUAUCUAAGUGUCCAUGAAUAAGGAGUGGUUAAAUAAAUUACAGUCCUUCCACACAAUAGAAUACUUCCACAUCACUACUAUACUAAAGAAUGAGGUAGGUCAACACAGACUGACACUCAAAGAUGUUCCAUAAUGUGUCAUCAAGUGACUUACAAAACAAUAUAUGGAAUGAUCUCAAGGUUCUUAAAAUGAUACAGUUUACAUACACAGCUUAGAAGGAUACACAUGGGUCUUUCUUUUUUUUUUUGAGUCAGAGUCUUACUCUGUCACCCAGGCUGGAGCGCAGUGGCGUGAUCUCAGCUCACUGCAACCUCUGCCUCCUGGGUUCAAGUGAUUCUUCUGCCACAGCCUCCCAAGUAGCUGGGAUUACAGGUGCAUGCCACCAUGA